GAGGGGGAGAGAGCCAGACAGAGAGACUGACUAAACAGUUCUUUCAUAGCAAGCCUGGCUUGGACCUGAAUGUUGCUUGGUGACUGUUGGGCAGAGCCUAGAAGAAAUGCUAAAACUAGAAACAACUUUGAUCUCUGUCACUGCACUUAUGUAAACGAAACAACCAGUCUUGACAGGUUAGUGCUGCUUCGUCCCCAUCGGAGAAAAUUCUUUGCACAGUGGCCAACAGUCAUUACAGAGACUCACACUGAUCCAGGUGCGGAGAACAAGUAUCAGUGACGUGCUCACUCAUACAUGGAACAUCUUUGUAAUACACCCUCCCCCCCCCCCCCCAAGACUCAGUUCUCUGGAACAAGAAGAGGCAAAAGGACUGUAAGAGCCAGAGGUUGGAGAAGAUGAGGGUGAAAGUAUGUCCUGGACAUGACAGGCCAUGACCUGCAUAAGAUCCAGCUAGUGGACUUUCCAGCACAGCUGGCACAAGUAUAGGAGCUCCUACCCCUAGCUGAGGAUCGACUGACUACUGAGGAGGGAGAGUCAGUUCUCCUUAGGGCUAUGGUCCCUGGCAGGUUGACUGUGACCCAGUGGAUGGCCCUAUACCCAUGAGUAUAUAGGUAACACUGGACUCAGUGGGUUAUAAGAAAAAAGGGAACAUGGAGUUGAGAAGGAAGAGUGUGUGGGAGUGAGGGGGUAUUUGAGAGGAGUUGGAAUGGGGGGAUGGGGGAUAAAUGUGCUUGAGAUAAAUUGUGAAUUCUCAAAGAAUAAAUAAAGAAUAUUAUGCUAAAAGAAA